CAGCCGCCGCGGUAACACCAGCCCCUCGAGUGGUGGGGAUGAUUAUUUGGCCUAAAGCGUCCGUAGCCGGCCGAGCAAGUCUUCCGUUAAAUCCAGCGUCUCAAGCGUUGGACUGCGGGAGAUACUACAUGGCUAGAGAGUGGGAGAGGUCAGCGGUAUUCUGGGGGUAGGGGCGAAAUCCUUUGAUCCCCGGAGGACCACCAGUGGCGAAGGCUGCUGACUAGAACACGUCUGACGGUCAGGGACGAAAGCUGGGGUAGCGAACCGGAUUGGAUACCCGGGUAGUCCCAGCCGUAAACGAUGCAUGCUAGGUGUUGGGUUGGCCACGAGCCACCCCAGUGCCGCAGGGAAGCCGUUAAGCAUGCCGCCUGGGAAGUACGAUCGCAAGAUUGAAACUUAAAGGAAUUGGCGGGGGAGCAC
rnacentral:rRNA from 2 species